rnacentral:rRNA from 1 species
CGACCGCUGGCGGCGUGCUUACCACAUGCACGUCGAACGGCAAGGCCCUGCUUUUGUGGGGUGCUCGAGUGGCGAACGGGUGAGUAACACGUGAGUAACCUGCCCUUGACUUUGGGAUAACUUCAGGAAACUGGGGCUAAUACCGGAUAGGAGCUCCUGCUGCAUGGUGGGGGUUGGAAAGUUUCGGCGGUUGGGGAUGGACUCGCGGCUUAUCAGCUUGUUGGUGGGGUAGUGGCUUACCAAGGCUUUGACGGGUAGCCGGCCUGAGAGGGUGACCGGCCACAUUGGGACUGAGAUACGGCCCAGACUCCUACGGGAGGCAGCAGUGGGGAAUAUUGCACAAUGGGCGGAAGCCUGAUGCAGCAACGCCGCGUGCGGGAUGACGGCCUUCGGGUUGUAAACCGCUUUCGCCUGUGACGAAGCGUGAGUGACGGUAAUGGGUAAAGAAGCACCGGCUAACUACGUG